rnacentral:rRNA from 1 species
AUGGUGCGUUUGAACCGGAGUGAUAGUUUCUCUCAACUUGUUGAAAGCGUUGUGAAUCGACUUGUAGGUUGGAACGAAACGUUGAUGUCCUUAGGAGGGAGUAAAAUUCUUUUGAUACCCAUUAUCCAGUCUAUUCUGGUGUAUGUUCUAACUCUUUUCAAUAUACCAAAAAAAAUGUGCAAAGAAAUUACAGAUGCGAUGGAAGCUUUUUGGUGAGAGGACACGGAUGAGUAGAAGAAAAUGCAUUGGCUAGCUUGGUGGAGGAUGGGUCUUCCAAAAGACAAGGGAAGCAUGGGGUUUAGGGAUCUCCAUGCAUUCAAUUUAGCCAUGUUAGCCAAGCAAAGCUAGAGAAUGAUAACUCAUCUUGAUACUCUUUGUGCUACGAUCUUAUGAGCGGAGUACUUUUCUGAUGGAAACAUUUGGCAGAGUAUCUUCGAUGGUCUUCAAAAGUUCAGGAGUGGGCAUAUUUGGUGA